rnacentral:rRNA from 1 species
UACGAGGGGGGCAAGCGUUGUUCGGAAUUAUUGGGCGUAAAGGGCGCGUAGGCGGUUUGACAAGUCUGAUGUGAAAUCUCUGGGCUCAACCCAGAGUCUGCAUUAGAAACUGUCGGGCUUGGGUAUGGGAGAGGUGAGUGGAAUUUCCGGUGUAGCGGUGAAAUGCGUAGAUAUCGGAAGGAACACCUGUGGCGAAAGCGGCUCACUGGACCAUAACUGACGCUGAGGCGCGAAAGCUAGGGGAGCAAACAGG